AACGGGGGGGGCAAGUGUUCUUCGGAAUCACUGGGCUUAAAGGGUGCGUAGGCGGCCAUGUAAGUGAGGUGUGAAAUCCCUCGGCUCAACCGAGGAACUACGCUUCAUACUGCAUGGCUUGAGGGAGACAGGGGUAAGCGGAACUGAUGGUGGAGCGGUGAAAUGCGUUGAUAUCAUCAGGAACACCGGUGGCGAAAGCGGCUUACUGGGUCUCUUCUGACGCUGAGGUACGAAAGCUAGGGGAGCGAACGGG
rnacentral:rRNA from 1 species